ACCGUUUAAAAAACAAAUGGCCUCUAAAAUGCAAGACACAACCUUGACUACUAAUGAAAAAGUCAUCGCAAUCAACAACUAGAGUUCACCCUAAGAGACAUAAAUGAUUCAAGAAUACCAUGCUGCAUUUGGGGAAACCUAACCAAUAUUGUCCAUUCUGCCUGCAACACUUUGCUUUUGAGGUUAAGAAACUUGGUUCAUUUAGAGAUCUUCUUACGCCUUUGUCAAAGAGAUCAAAGGAAGACUUCGUCCACCAUCUCAGGAUGCCUUCAGAUCCAACAUGCAAAACAAGGAAGAAUGUUUUGUGAUAUCUUUAUCUCUGCUAAAUGAAAAAGUGAGAGAAAAUCACCUAAAUAGAUCGGAAAAGGUGAAGUCCUCUGUGGAUCUACCGAGUUUGGAUCGGAAAAGGAUCUUAAAAAAAUCAGUUGUUCUUUGAUUUGCUGCCAUGGAUUUUCACUUCUUCAAACUGCUGUUUCCAUUUUUACAACCAGAAGCGAGACACACCGCUUAGAACAUGACUUCUCUAGCUUUGAUUAAACGUUUCGCCAUGGAAAUCGAGACAUAAUUUUUUUGUUCUUUCCUUUUUUGGUUUUUUUUUGCAACUGAAUACACGAUUUUGUCGAUUCAGAUAUUUUCUCUUUGGGCCAUUCGGGCCGUAAUUUGUUUAUGUUGUAUAUCCAUUUUUUUAUUUCUUAGUACAAUUCCAGCCCAUUUGAAA